rnacentral:lncRNA from 1 species
AUGUCACAGCCACCUGGAAACCAUGUGGGUUCUAAGGACUCUGUUUUUGUGGCCAGAGUCAUAUGGGGACAGUCUUCACUAAUCUCUCUUGAUUUUUUGUGUCUUCCAGUUGUGGAUGGGAGAGACAUGUCAGUUCUUCCUGCCAUACAUAAAAAUUGUGAUGCUCACCCACAUCCAAGUGCUCAGGAAAGUGUAGCCCUUUAUUUUGUAUUUCUAUCUGUACUUUGUUAUAUGCAGUUACUAUUAGCCUUUGUACAUAUGUGCUCCUUCGUAACCAUAGGAAGCAGGAAACUGCACCAGCCACAUCAAGCUCCCUCCCGUGCCCAGGUAUUUCAAGUAAAGGCGUCUCAUCUUAAGAGGAACUGCAAGGCUCACCAAACCAAAAAGGUCACCUAACACAGCUCCCUGGAACAGCGGAGAUAAGAAUCCUGGUGCUCAGAGUGACACGUCUCCCAGUGGUCUGCACGGACGCUGCUGAAGCCACAUUGUCACAACCCUCAGGUAUAGCUCACAGACACCAUGACAUCGUGUGGACUCCGACCCUCAGAGUGGAGCAGACACCUUCGGCGCUGUCCUUGUUCUGGGGAGAACUGGCUCUCAUGGGGUCUGUGUAACUUCCUUUCCUGCCUGAGGUAGAACUGGAGAUGACAGGCCCUCCCUCUUCACAUGCUCUCCAGUGCCUCCCAGACUGUUGCACCAUGACCUCUGAACUCCUGUCAUUAACAAACGCCCCCAUGCUCCCAACCCCUCCCAGACUUCACCUCCUGGCCUUCACGGGUUCCAACUCUCCUCUGAGGACCCACCUCCCUGCAGCCUUCUCAGGUAGAAGCUGGCCUGACCUCUUUUCCCACCUACUUCCAGGAGUGGACACGAGGUUGAGUGUAAUUUUUUUCCAAUUUCUUGCCCACCCUCAAAUAAUGCUGCUUCAGGUUCGGGCCACCCUUGUCUUCACUUCCUCCCUGCUUUUCUCCUGGACACUCCCUGGGCACCGUCACCUGGCAUGAAUAUUGGUAGGCAGCAAGCACAGAACCCUUUGCUUCUUGGUCCCCUGGCUGCCAACAACAAGGAUAUCCUCUUGGCUGGAGGUUCCCACAGCCAAGCCUGGUGCUGCCCUGUGGGCGGCCUGUGAAGCCAGGGAAGCCGUGUGGCUGGGUGGAGGGAGCACGUGUGAAAUGUGAGGGGAAGAGGGGGCGGGGC